GGAUCCGAACCAGCGAACCCUGGGAUGCUGAGAAGCGGAAGUUCAUUCCGAGAACUGAAAUUCCUGGAUCGAAGGGAAUAAACAUCUUUACAGCUUUGCACACACGUUGCACUGUUCCGAGAGGUCCCCUCUGAGUGGAGGGGCAGUGAAAUAAGGACAGCUCUGGAACGCUGAGGCAGAGGCUGGGGGUGGAGCUGCCCUGGUGUUGACAACCGUUUCCUACAGGUGGCCAGUGCCAAACAGGGACCUUGAGCGCAUAGGGAGGGUGGAAGCAGAGAUGAAACUCAGCAGAACUACCCGUUAUAUCCAUGAAAGGGUGGGCUGAGGGGUAACAGCAUGAGGCUUAGGGCUCAGACAUUUUGAGAAGUCGAAGCUCCCAGUCUCUGUGCUUGAAUCACCACCGUAGGCUGGGCAGGAUCUUGGAAAAUACAGCUUGAGGGAGUAGCCACACACACAUUAGCACCUGCCAACCCUAUUAAUCAGAGCUUGGACAGACUCCUCAUUGGUGCUGGGGAAGCCAGCAGAAGAUUCGGAUCUUCUCUCCACUGCCCUGGGCUUAUUCUUCCAACCUCCCCCCACCUCCCUCUAUGCUGUUCCGGGGAUCAGCAUGGGAAAGGCAGAGCUCUCUCUGCCCCUCUCUCUCAACAUUCAGGCUCUCUUUGUAUCUAUUAAUUCAUAUCUAGGUCAGACAGGGUCUACAGCACGCAGGGCGCUGUGCCAGGUCGCGGGUUGGAAAGAUGAAUAAGAAAUGCCCCUGCCUGUGUAGUUAAGAGUCUAUGAGACAUGUCAGCGUGCGAACUAACUUGCAGAUCACUAAAAUACAGUUGGCAAUUUCUGUUCCUUUCACUCACUAUUCUUAGAGUAAUGCCUGGCAAACUGUGGACACUGGAAAAUAUUUGAUGAAUGCCUGAUGAAUGCCUACCUGAUGGAAUAAAGGCAUUCAAAGGGGUGUGUCCCUCCAAUACAACGUUACCUAGGGGUACUUUUUUUGUUUGUUUUAUUUCAAGACAUAAUUUAUAUGUUAUAAAAUUUACUUGUUUUUAAGUGUACAAUUUGAUGACUUUUGGCAUAUUUACAGAGUCACGCAGCCAUCAUGGAAAUCUAAUUUCAGAACAUUUCCAUCAUUCCCAGAAGAAACGUCAUGCCCAUUUGCCCUCACUCCCAGUUUCCUCAUCUCCCUUGUCCCCAGUCCUAGGCGAUCACUCAUAGACUUUCUCUAUCUGUAGGUUUGCCUAUUCUGGAUAUUUCAUCUAAAUGGAACCAAACAAUGUAUAUUGUUUGUGUCUGGCUCUUUUCACUGGACAUAAUGCUUUGGAGUUGUAGCAUGGAUCAGUUAUAGCAUGUACACAUUGUAGCCUGCAUCCGUACUUUAUUUUUUUAAUUGCAGAAUAAUAUUCCAUUGUGUGGAGAGAUCGCAUUUUGGUGUUCAUCAGCUGAAGGACAUUUGAGUUGUUCCCACUUUUUGGCUGUUCUGAAUAAUGCUGCUGUGAACAUUCAUGCCUAGUCUUCGUGUGGACGUACAUUUUCAUUUCUCUUGGAUGGAACUGGAAUUGCUGGGUCACAGCGGGUGCUUUUUGAGCAAAGAUUUAAAGAGGCACCUAUGGCAGGAGGCCUUGGCCCAGCUCGAUGGAUCUAGCAUCCGUCUAAGGUUCCUAAACAGACACGCGAGCAUGACUCUCCCUGGCCACUUUCUAACCGAGGCGAGGUCUGGGGCCGUGCCUCCCUCUCCCCACUUCUCUUUAGCCUGUGUAUGGCCAUUCAGUGAAUUUUCCUUUUCAAUGGUGAUCUUGGCUUUUCCUUUUUUACAGGGAGUCAGGGUGGGCGAGGGUUUUCCCAUACUUUUCUAUUUUUAAAAUCACCUUAUUAUUUUUCCUUAGUACAAAUGGAGGGUGUUUAUUGCAGAAAUGUUAGAUACUACACUCUAAAUUUAAAGAAAAACUAAGUAAGAAAAUUAAAAUGAUCUAAAAUGUCACUACAUAGACCUAAUCACAGUCAAUAUUUUGGUGUGUAUCCUUCUGUAGAUGGAUAGAAAGAUCUAUGUAUAUAUCCAUAGAUAGACAUAGGUAUCAAUGGAGACAUAGAUGUUGUGUAUGUUAUUCUGAUACCUGUUUUUCCCCUUGAUAUAUUCUGACUAUUUCUGACUUUAUAUUUUUUAUAUUAAAUGAUUAUAUGAUUAUACACUUUUUCAUAAGCACAGUGAGCUUUAAUUUAUUUAACUAAAUCCUUAUCAUUGGGCAUGUAAUAUGUUCCAAAUUUUUUGUGCAGUUAAAAAAUAUUGGAGUGAAUGAAGCUUAAUUAAUUUUGCACAUAUUAAUCAGUAUUUUUACAGACUAUAAAACUAUUUUUGAAAGCG